rnacentral:lncRNA from 1 species
UUUAGAUUUUUGGGGGGAAAGUGCCCCAUUUCUCACUUUCUGCGUCGACAUAUUUUGCCUUCGGAUUGUGUGACUGAAAUAACGGCUACAAGCGUUGGAUGGCGACGGAGGUCCACGAAUUGUGGCGGUAACAGUAGACACAAAGAAAAUGGCCAUUUAGUAGCCAGCAAUGAUUGGUGGAGGAGGUGAAGCAUAAGAAGAGCCAAAGUAAGCUGGAAGAGUGAUGUCUUCUUCUUCUUCUGGAGGAGGAGGUGAAAUAGUUGGUGUAGGUGGUGGUGGAGAGUAGGCAGGUGGAGGAGGAGAGUGUACUGGUGGUGGAGGGGAAUAUAUCGGUGGUGGUGAAUUAACUAGUACGGGUGGAGGUGGAGAAUGGACUGGUGGGGGAGGAGAAUGAAUUGGUGGAGGAGGAGAAUGAACUGGUGGUGGUGGAGAAUCGACUGGGGGUGGUGGUGACUGGACUGGUGGUGGUGGAGAAUG